rnacentral:rRNA from 1 species
UACAGAGGGGGCAAGCGUUGUUCGGAAUUACUGGGCGUAAAGGGCGCGUAGGCGGGUUCGCAAGUCAGGGGUGAAAUCUUUCAGCUUAACUGGAAAACAGCCCCUGAUACUGCGAGUCUCGAGGGAGGUAGGGGCAUGUGGAACUUCCGGUGGAGCGGUGAAAUGCGUAGAUAUCGGAAGGAACGCCGGUGGCGAAAGCGACGUGCUGGACCUCUUCUGACGCUGAGGCGCGAAAGCUAGGGGAGCAAACGGG